rnacentral:rRNA from 1 species
CAGCAGCCACGGGAACACAGAGGGUGCGAGCGUUAAUCGGAUUUACUGGGCGUAAAGCGUGCGUAGGCGGCUUCUUAAGUCGGAUGUGAAAUCCCUGAGAUUAACUUAGGAAUUGCAUUCGAUACUGGGAAGCUAGAGUAUGGGAGAGGAUGGUAGAAUUCCAGGUGUAGCGGUGAAAUGCGUAGAGAUCUGGAGGAAUACCGAUGGCGAAGGCAGCCAUCUGGCCUAAUACUGACGCUGAGGUACGAAAGCAUGGGGAGCAAACAGGAUUAGAUACCCGUGUAGUCCCUGUCUCUUAUAC